GUUUUAAUAAUUUAAAUAAAAAUAUUGGUCUUGUAAUCCAAAAAUGAAUUAUAUUUCUUAAAACU
rnacentral:tRNA from 1 species